rnacentral:tRNA from 1 species
GCCCAGGUGGUGGAAUUGGUAGACACGCUACUUUGAGGGGGUAGUGAGAGAACUCUCGUGCAAGUUCGACUCUUGUCCUGGGCA